CAAGGGUUUUCUAACUCCAACCCAUGUGAACUUACCUUUUGUUGCCUCGGCAGAAGUUAUAGGUCUUCUUAUAGCUGCUGCCGGUGGACCAUUAAACUCUUGUUAUUUUAUGUAAUCUGAGCGUCUUAUUUUAAUAAGUCAAAACUUUCAACAACGGAUCUCUUGGUUCUGGCAUCGAUGAAGAACGCAGCGAAAUGCGAUAAGUAAUGUGAAUUGCAGAAUUCAGUGAAUCAUCGAAUCUUUGAACGCACAUUGCGCCCAUUAGUAUUCUAGUGGGCAUGCCUGUUCGAGCGUCAUUUCAACCCUUAAGCCUAGCUUAGUGUUGGGAAUCUACUUCUCUUAGGAGUUGUAUUUCCUGAAAUACAACGCCGGAUUUGUAGUAUCCUCUGAGCGUAGCAAUUUUUUUCUCGCUUUUGUUAGGAGCUAUAACUCCCAGCCCCUAAACCCCCAAUUUUUUGUGGUUGACCUCGGAUCAGGUAGGAAUACCCGCUGAACUUAAGCAUAUGAAUAACUGGGGGAU
rnacentral:rRNA from 1 species